rnacentral:rRNA from 1 species
GGGUGCGACCAUACCAGCACUAAUGCACCGAAACCCAUCAAAACUCCACAGUCAAGCGUGCUUGGGCAAGAGUAGUACUAGGAUGGGUGACCUCCUGGGAAGGCCUCGUGUGUCACCCC